rnacentral:rRNA from 1 species
CCUACGGGAGGCAGCAGUAGGGAAUAUUGCUCAAUGGGGGAAACCCUGAAGCAGCAACGCCGCGUGGAGGAUGAAGGUUUUCGGAUUGUAAACUCCUUUUGUUAGAGAAGAUAAUGACGGUAUCUAACGAAUAAGCAACGGCUAACUCCGUGCCAGGAGCCGCGGUAAUACGGUGGGUGCAAGCGGUACUCGGAAUCACUGGGCGGAAAGAGCGCGGAGGCGGGAUAGCAAGUCAGAUGUGAAAUCCUAUGGCUUAACCAUAGAACUGCAUUUGAAACUGGGAAUCUAGAGUAUGAGAGAGGUAGGUGGAAUUCUUGGUGUAGGGGUAAAAUCCGUAGAGAUCAAGAGGAAUACUCAUUGCGAAGGCGACCUGCUAGAACAUAACUGACGCUGAUGCGCGAAAGCGUGGGGAGCAAACAGGAUUAGAUACCCGGGUAGUC